UACGGGGGGGGCAAGCGUUGUUCGGAAUUACUGGGCGUAAAGGGCUCGUAGGCGGCCAACUAAGUCGGACGUGAAAUCCCCAGGCUCAACCUGGGAACUGCGUCCGAUACUGGAUGGCUUGAAUCCGGGAGAGGGAUGCAGAAUUCCAGGUGUAGCGGUGAAAUGCGUAGAUAUCUGGAGGAAUACCGGUGGCGAAGGCGGCGCUCUGGACCGAGACUGACGCUGAGGCGCGAAAGCGUGGGGAGCAAACAGG
rnacentral:rRNA from 1 species